rnacentral:rRNA from 1 species
GACGAACGCUGGCGGCGUGCUUAACACAUGCAAGUCGAACGGAAAGGCCCUGCUUUUGUGGGGUGCUCGAGUGGCGAACGGGUGAGUAACACGUGAGUAACCUGCCCUUGACUUUGGGAUAACUUCAGGAAACUGGGGCUAAUACCGGAUAGGAGCUCCUGCUGCAUGGGGGGGGUUGGAAAGUUUCGGCGGUUGGGGAUGGACUCGCGGCUUAUCAGCUUGUUGGUGGGGUAGUGGCUUACCAAGGCUUUGACGGGUAGCCGGCCUGAGAGGGUGACCGGCCACAUUGGGACUGAGAGACGGCCCAGACUCCUACGGGAGGCAGCAGUGGGGAAUAUUGCACAAUGGGCGGAAGCCUGAUGCAGCAACGCCGCGUGCGGGAUGACGGCCUUCGGGUUGUAAACCGCUUUCGCCUGUGACGAAGCGUGAGUGACGGUAAUGGGUAAAGAAGCACCGGCUAACUACGUG